GCGCCCGUAGCUCAAUUGGAUAGAGCGUUUGAUUACGGAUCAAAAGGUUAGGGGUUCGACUCCUCUCGGGCGCGCCA
rnacentral:tRNA from 2 species